CGAUGUUAAAACCCACUUCUUCAGGCACCCAAAGUAGACUGAAGACCAGCAGUUCUCCAAGAAUCCUCCUGGCCUUUAGCACCAAAUUGGAACUUCCAAAGUAUCCAGCAUUGAGGACUGUCAGUGUGAGACAGCCACUGUUGGACGACAAGAGCCACACCAUGUAAGCCAAUCUAAUGAACUCCCCUUAAUAUAUAUUCCCUCUAACAGUUCUGUUUCUUUAGAGAACCCUGACUAAUUUAUGGCAGAACAGAUAGACUUCCAGCAGGCUUAGUCGUUGCUGCCCAAGUCUGUCUUCAUCUUGCUCUGUCUCCCUUUUGAGGCUCCCUUCCAUGUCAUGCAGGGCUCCCUGGCCUCAGAGAGGAUGCAGCAGGGGAAGGGUGCUGUUCUGUAGCUGGACCAGUGCAUGAACCCAAGGGCAAGGUUGAUGGAUGCUUCAAGAUGUACAGGAAGAUCAACAGGAAUAUCACCCCAGGCAGGUCAAACACAUUAGCUGAUCUGUCUAGCAAUGAGAUACUUGACAAAUGGAAAACACCUGACCUCUCCAGGCAGUUUGGAGCUACGUCUACCGAUCAAACCCGGCAGGGUCCAGAGUGGUCAGCCUGUGGAUCAGAACGGAUCCAUGCCACAGGAUGACAAAGGAAGAAAACAUCCUGUGCCUUUGUACAUGUCGUUCAGGACCACAGAGCAAACUGGAAGGAUGCAUUCCAUCUGGCCGAUGGUCUGGAAUGAACGGCGUUUCUAUAGAUCUCAAGCCCGGCAUCCUGGGGAUGGCUUCAUGGCCAUGAGCUCAAGGGGUGCAGCAGUGGCUGAGGUACCUUUUAGAUGUACAGAGGCUAUGAGAUCCAGCAUGCCAUUGAUCUCAUGGAAAGGGAAUUGGGGGGGAGGGGUAGGGGGGCUGGUGUCAGCGUACAUUGUGUGCACACAAAUAAAGAGGAUGUGUUUGCACCUGAGUGUGAAGGACGGACUGGCCCAUCACUCACACCAGGUACUCCUUAUCCACGUAAACAACUUCAGGUCCCUUAACCAAACUCCUUCAAAGCCUAUUGCUCAACACUCAGCCCAUCCAAGGCACCUACCUGCACAAGGCUGA
rnacentral:lncRNA from 1 species